GGAAGAGGAAAGAAACGGGGUGGGUUUUGGGAUUUUCGGCCACCGCGGAUGGUGACGCCGUCAUUGGUGAUCGGCGGCCGCCACGGUGGCCAACGACCGGAGCCUAGCCGAAUUCUGGGGAAGGGAGAGAGUGUUGAGAGUGUUUUUUUAGUUUUUUUUAGAAAGGGGGCUGAAAUGAUUUUUUUUGGGAAAUUUUUGACUUAAGUAGGGCUUCAAAAUGGUGUCGUUUUGGCUUGUUUUCUCAGAUGCCAAAACGACGUCGUUUCACCCUUGGAUCCGCAUGUUGACCCGACCCGCCAAGGAGGAUUCGCAUGUUUUUGAUUAAUGGGCAAUUUGCGCAUUUAGUCCUUCCGCAUUUUUUUUUAUCUUUUUAAUACAAUUUAUUUUUAUUUUCAAUUUUUACUUUAUGAUUUUUCUUUUAUUUUAAUUUGGACCCGUACAAAGUGACACGUUUUGGAGGGUAGG
rnacentral:lncRNA from 1 species